AGCAGCCGCGGUAAUUCCAGCUCCAAUAGCGUAUAUUAAAGUUGUUGCAGUUAAAAAGCUCGUAGUUGAAUUUCGGGGUUAGUAGGUUGGUCAUGCCUCUGGUAUGUACUGGUCUCACUGAUUCCUCCUUCCUGAUGAGCCGUAAUGCCAUUAAUUUGGUGUUGCGGGGAAUUUGGACUGUUACUUUGAAAAAUUAGAGUGUUUAAAGCAAGCUAACGCUUGAAUACAUUAGCAUGGAAUAAUGAAAUAGGACGUUCGAUCCUAUUUUGUUGGUUUCUAGGAUUGACGUAAUGAUUAAUAGGGAUAGUUGGGGGCAUUAGUAUUCAAUUGUCAGAGGUGAAAUUCUUGGAUUUAUUGAAGACUAACUACUGCGAAAGCAUUUGCCAAGGAUGUUUUCAUUAAUCAAGAACGAAAGUUAAGGGGAUCGAAGACGAUCAGAUACCGUCGUAGUCUUAACCAUAAACUAUGCCGACUAGGGAU
rnacentral:rRNA from 1 species